GAUGAACGCUGGCGGCGUGCCUAAUACAUGCAAGUCGAGCGAACAGACGAGGAGCUUGCUCCUCUGACGUUAGCGGCGGACGGGUGAGUAACACGUGUAUAACCUACCUAUAAGACUGGGAUAACUUCGGGAAACCGGAGCUAAUACCGGAUAAUAUAUUGAACCGCAUGGUUCAAUAGUGAAAGACGGUUUUGCUGUCACUUAUAGCUGGAUCCGCGCCGCAUUAGCUAGUUGGUAAUGUAACGGCCUACCAGGGCAACGAUGCGUAGCCGACCUGAGAGAGUGAUAGGCGACCUUAGAACGGAAACGCGGACAAGACGACUAAGGGAGGGAGCAGUAGGGAAUCUUCCGCAAUGGGCGAAAGCCUGACGGAGCAACGCCGCGUGAGUGAUGAAGGUCUUCGGAUCGUAAAAAUCUGUUAUUAGGGAAGAACAAAUGUGUAAGUAAAUAUGCACGUAUUGACGGUACCUAAUCAGAAAGCCACGGCUAACUACGUG
rnacentral:rRNA from 1 species